rnacentral:tRNA from 1 species
AUUUAUAUAAUAUAUAAAGUAUAUUUGAUUUCCAAUCAAAAAGUUUAAAAAACAUUUAAUAUAAAUA